AACGAACGCUGGCGGCAGGCUUAACACAUGCAAGUCGAGCGCCCCGCAAGGGGAGCGGCAGACGGGUGAGUAACGCGUGGGAAUCUACCCAACCCUACGGAAUAACGCAUGGAAACGUGUGCUAAUACCGUAUACGCCCUACGGGGGAAAGAUUUAUCGGGGAUGAAUGAGCCCGCGUUGGAUUAGCUAGUUGGUGGGGUAAAGGCCUACCAAGGCGACGAUCCAUAGCUGGUCUGGGAGGAUGAUCAGCCACAUUGGGACUGAGACACGGCCCAAACUCCUAAGGGAGGCAGCAGUGGGGAAUAUUGGACAAUGGGCGCAAGCCUGAUCCAGCCAUGCCGCGUGGGUGAUGAAGGCCCUAGGGUUGUAAAGCUCUUUCACCGAUGAAGAUAAUGACGGUAGUCGGAGAAGAAGCCCCGGCUAACUUCGUGCCAGCCGCCGCAGUAACAC
rnacentral:rRNA from 1 species